GACGAACGCUGGCGGCGUGCUUAACACAUGCAAGUCGAACGAUGAAGCCGGAGCUUGCUCUGGUGAAUUAGUGGCGAACGGGUGAGUAACACGUGAGUAACCCGCCCUUGACUCUGGGAUAACUGCUAGAAAUGGUAGCUAAUACCGGAUACGACCCUCGGAGGCAUCUCCAGGGGGUGGAAAGAAUUUCGGUCAAGGAUGGACUCGCGGCCUAUCAGCUAGUUGGUGAGGUAACGGCGCACCAAGGCGACGACGGGUAGCCGGCCUGAGAGGGUGACCGGCCACACUGGGACUGAGACCCGGCCCAGACUCCUACGGGAGGCAGCAGUGGGAAAUAUUGCACAAUGGGCGCAAGCCUGAUGCAGCAACGCCGCGUGAGGGAUGACGGCCUUCGGGUUGUAAACCUCUUUUAGUAGGGAAGAAGCGAAAGUGACGGUACCUGCAGAAAAAGCACCGGCUAACUACGUGCCAGCCGCCGCAGUAA
rnacentral:rRNA from 1 species